CUCUUAUAUGACCCAAUCAGUCUUCCUUGAACGAAAACGCGUCGACUACACGAAAGGUACAAAAAGGACUCGAACACUCGACCUUUGAUGAGAG
rnacentral:lncRNA from 1 species